GAUGAACGCUGACAGAAUGCUUAACACAUGCAAGUCUUUGGCGAAGCUGUGCUUGCACAGCCUAGCCAAGGCGGACGGGUGAGUAACGCGUAAGGAACUUGCCCUGAAGUCAGGGAUAACAGACGGAAACGACUGAUAAGACCUGGUAAAGUCAGGCGGACUCAUGUCCAGCCUGAUGAAAAGAGAUGCUGCAGGAGAGCCUUGCGUCCUAUUAGCUUGUUGGUGGGGUAACGGCCCACCAAGGCGAUGAUAGGUAGCCGGCCUGAGAGGGUGGACGGCCACAAGGGGACUGAGAUACGGCCCUUACUCCUACGGGAGGCGGCAGUGGGGAAUAUUGGACAAUGGGGGCAACCCUGAUCCAGCAAUUCUGUGUGCACGAUGAAGGUUUUCGGAUUGUAAAGUGCUUUCAGCAGGGAAGAAAAAAAUGACGGUACCUGCAGAAGAAGCGACGGCUAAAUACGUG
rnacentral:rRNA from 1 species